rnacentral:rRNA from 1 species
AAGGGCACCACAAGAACGCGUGGAGCAUGUGGCUUAAUUUGACUCAACGCGGGAAAUCUUACCGGGUCCGGACACACUGAGGAUUGACAGGCAAUAUUAAUACAUCAGCUCUCUUUUGACUGUGUAUUAUGUUAAAUAUGCUAGUCCUUUCAUGAUUAUGUGAUAGGUGGUGCAUGGCCGUUCUUAGUUCGUGGAGUGAUCUGUCUGCUUAAUUGCGUUUCACUAAGGGCCUAUAAAUUUACGUGUGUUGCGGCACUUUGACCCCUCUCUGAGCGCGCGUCUUAGUUUGCUUAGCUCGCACAAUUAGGUCCUGAAAGCAACGAACGUGACCGCAACCUCUUGUUGCCUUUAUUCCAAACAUGUUUGCCAUUUUAAAUGGUAUUCAUGAAAAAAGGCCUUUUAAACUAGAGGGACCGCUGUUACUUUCUUAAACCAGAGGAAGGUUGCGGCAAUAACAGGUCUGUGAUGCCCUUAGAUGUUCCGGGCUGCACACGUGCUACAAUGAUUAUUGCAGUGAGCAUCUCAUUUUUACACACCGCAUGCGCGAGUCCAUUUAUUCACCUUUCUGAGGCGCUUUAAAUGUGUACCUCUGCGCGCGGUAAAGCCUGCUUCGAAAGUAAGUGGGUAAUCAAUUAGAAGUAAUGAUUUCCUUUUUAGCACACAUAUAUACGGCGUCUAUGCCCGGGCUGCCUUGUUGUAGCUUUUGUGCGUAUAGAUGUUUUUUCCGUAUGUGCGAUUGUCAAUUCAUGGUGGGGACAGACCAUUGUUAAUUGUUGGUCUCGGUCUUAACUAGGAAUGCCUUGUACGGGUCUUUGGUUCAACAAACCACCCGGAAUACGUCCCUGCCCUUUGUACACACCGCCCGUCGCUCUUACCGAUGGACUUCUCUGUGAGUUUGAGGGACUGGGAACGCAGAUUCUCUGCACACCUAUGGAAACUUAAACGAACAGUGUGGUCUAAAGGAAAGAGAAGUCGUAACAAGGCAUCA